GUCUGCUUCCAAGGAGGUAGUCCUAUAGCUGGGCCUUGGAGAUGUGGGCAGUCAUUGUUCCAGAGCAAUUACCCAUAAUAAGAGGAGCUGAGUUAGUGACAACACUUUGAGGGAGAUGAAGUAGACUGUGGCCAAAGCUUCAGCGAGCAUGCUACCCUGUUUAGAUAUGACCAGACCUAUAGAAUCCUGAGUCUUGAGGCCUCCUCAAAACCUCCUGGACCACUACAAGAGAAUUCCCGGGGGAACUGAACAAAGGUCACACAAAAUCGAAGCUGUAUGUCAGUGUGCUGCAUAUCUUCACCUUCAGAGAAGCCUAAAGGCCAAUGUAAGCAUCAGCCAGGGGAAUGACAGUGCAUCAUCUGCAAGUCUGAGAUGCCCUUGCUUGUUCGCAAGUACAGCUGGCUCACACACCACAGGCAUGUUCUUUGAGACAAAGCUAGAGGAAAUCAGGCCAGACAGAACAGUGAGUCGGGCUAUUGACUCAGCAAGAACAUCGCCGCAAAAUCUCCUAGGAAGUUGCAAGGCCAGCAGUUGUCUUAAAAAUAGUGACCAGUUCUAAGGGAGGACAGAUAAACAAUAAACAGUGGUAGUGUUCUGGGGUCUUGAAUAAUCGAGUUGGCAUCAAGGGGUUAUCCACUAAAAGUUAUUUACUGCCACUGUCUAUUUCAUAUUUCAUAUUGGGUCAUUUUGGUGACCAAGAGGGCAGUCAGAGAGUGCAGUGGAAGGCUUAUGAGCCCCCUGGGUGACGUGAAGCAGGUUGAUCCCACUCCUGCCUUUCCUACUAAGUGCUUGGAGAGCUUCUACACAUUAGACAUGAAACCGGACACUGUGAGAAUUGAUUGGCCCACAGGGAGAAGAGAGAAGAAAUCAUUCUUAACAGCCCUAGUCAGUCAGUGCUGAUCUUAGGCCCUAAAUGGCAAAGGAACACCAUAAGUAGCCACCAUGUAGAGAAGAUGAGUGGCUAGCUAUGGCUUUGUAAAUACAAAUUGCCAUAUGAUGGAGAGGGUUGUUU
rnacentral:lncRNA from 1 species